UAAGGAAUAUUGGACAAUGCCCGCAAGGGUGAUCCAGCCAUGCCGCGUGCAGGAAGAAGGCCCUAUGGGUCGUAAACUGCUUUUACACCGGAGAAAACCUCCCCUCGUGAGGGGAGCUGAUAGUAUGGUGAGAAUAAGCAUCGGCUAACUUCGUGCCAGCAGCCGCGGUAAGACGAAGGAUGCAAGCGUUAUCCGGAUUCAUUGGGUUUAAAGGGAGCGUAGGUGGACUGAUAAGUCAGUGGUGAAAUCUUCGAGCUUAACUCGGAAAUUGCCAUUGAUACUGUUGGUCUUGAGUACAGUUGCUGUGGGCGGAAUAUGACAUGUAGUGGUGAAAUACAUAGAGAUGUCAUAGAACACCGAUUGCGAAGGCAGCUCACAAAGCUGUAACUGACACUGAGGCUCGAAAGUGCGGGGAUCAAACA
rnacentral:rRNA from 1 species